rnacentral:ncRNA from 2 species
ACCUAUGCACGCACCAUUCUUCUUUGCUUUCUCGUUUAUCCGGCCCGCUUGAGGGAAGGCCUGUCGUCGUGUGAACAGAAAGCAAAGACGAAUCGAGCCUCCCCUAGCGGAGGCUUUUUUUU